rnacentral:rRNA from 1 species
CGCGUAGGCGGUUUGACAAGUCUGAUGUGAAAUCUCUGGGCUCAACCCAGAGUCUGCAUUAGAAACUGUCGGGCUUGAGUAUGGGAGAGGUGAGUGGAAUUUCCGGUGUAGCGGUGAAAUGCGUAGAUAUCGGAAGGAACACCUGUGGCGAAAGCGGCUCACUGGACCAUAACUGACGCUGAGGCGCGAAAGCUAGGGGAGCAAACAGGAUUAGAUACCCUGGUAGUCCUAGCCCUAAACGAUGAUUGCUUGGUGUGACAGGUACCCAAUCCUGUCGUGCCGAAGCUAACGCGAUAAGCAAUCCGCCUGGGGAGUACGGUCGCAAGGCUGAA